rnacentral:rRNA from 1 species
GACGAACCGUACGAACGUUAUUCGGAAUUACUGGGCUUAAAGGGUGCGUAGGCUGUGCAGCAAGUUGGGUGUGAAAUCCCCCGGCUCAACCGGGGAAUAGCGCUCAAAACUACUGUGCUAGAGGGAGACAGAGGUAAGCGGAACUCAGGGUGGAGCGGUGAAAUGCGUUGAUAUCCUGAGGAACACCGGUGGCGAAAGCGGCUUACUGGGUCUCUUCUGACGCUGAGGCACGAAAGCUAGGGUAGCGAACGGG